AUCACGGUUUGGGUGAAAACGAAGACCACUUUGCGAAGAGUACCGCCUAUGCGACGGACUACCUGGCCGCGAGCAGCGACUAAAGCGCGAACGAAAGCGACAGACCUUUCUCAACUUCAGCAGAUAAAAGAAAACCCCUUAUAGGGGUUUUCUUGUUUAUUGCAGUUUCGUAGCAGUCAGGAUACUCAACAUUCGAUUCGUGGCGUUUGCAUGCGAGGCGUGAGUGCGAGUCUGCACUGGUUUUAGUACCCGGCGGGAUUUCUUCCGGAGGAGAGGCGCGGGCACGCAUUGUAGCCGAGAUUGGUGGCUAAAUCGACAAAGAAACGAGCACCGGAGCAGCGAUCACGACACUGGUGCUGACGGAAUCGAGCGCCCACUGGACGGACGUGUAAUCAGGAGAUUGUUGCGAAGACGCAUCAUGACCGCAGUGGCGUGGCAAGUUUUGAGAUGGGGCGCCCCGAUAGGUACCGUGAGUAGAAACCUAAGAGAAAUGUUUAGCAUGUAAGAUUGAUCUCACGAGAGCAGGAAAGCAGGGAAUGAAGAGUAGGGAAGAUUCCAGAAUGGAAAAAUAAAGCUCUGUAUACAUGUACAAUAUUUGAGA